CUGAGUGAGGGAGCAGUCCCGACCUCCAACCCUUUGUGAACGCAUCAUGUUGCUUUGGGGGCGACCCUGCCGUUCGCGGCGUUCCCCCCGGAGGUAAUCAAAACACUGCAUUCUUACGUCGGAGUAAAAAGUUAAUUUAAUA
rnacentral:misc_RNA from 1 species